GCAGGACUUUGGAUUUCAGAUUUGGGGUUUAGGGAUGCUCAACCUGCACCUCCUUCUUCUUGAACUCUUCUCACUCCAGUUCUCUUAGAAACAUGGACCAAAAUUUCUUAGCACACACCUUGGGGGAGUGGAAAGGCUGGAGAAGAGCUGUUGACUUCCUUGUUUCUGGAGAUUAACAGCAAGAAGCUACGUGUGUGGGGAUUGGGGAGGAAUUUUACUUUCCACUUCAUUUUCUAUCUUCCUUGCUUAAAAAAUAAUAUUCUUGAUAGUAAAACUAGAAAGUUUGCCAAUGGAAAAAUGCAUAGAGACAAGUGUGUGACUUGUGAAGCUUUGAGCAAACGUCUUACAGAAACUGGCAGAUCUCUGCAGAGCAUGCUGACGACGCUGAACGUGAGGAUGACGGGAAUUUCAUUUUAUUCUCAGUGCGUCUUGUCAGGCGACGAGGGAGGACAAGAAGGUCGGGAGGAAAAGGCCCGGAGAUUGGGAAGUGAGACCCGUUCUGCCACUAGCAUUACCUCAUUGCAAGAGGUUCUUUUAAAAAUCACUGGUUUUAAAGAGACGGACAUAAUUUAGAAGCCUAAAUAAACAUCAGAGGAGCAGAGUGACACGCUUGGGAAAUUCAGAGCUGCAAGUUGAACAAGGAAGAAUGAAAGCAGGCGCUAAAACGAUUGACAGGCGGAGAGCAUUUGCUCGGUGGAGGACUUGGUCAUGGUUAUUUGGUGCCACAAAACCACACAGAGGAAGAAGCAACGCUGAACGAUUCCAGAUCGAAACAACCUUUGUAAACAACCUUUGUAAAGCUGCUUGGCCACACAUUGAGACCUGCAGCCUUUACCUUGUCCACACGGCUGUCAAGCCCACAGCUGCAAGUACCUGUCUCUGGAAGCAUCCUUUAAACCUACUGCCCCACCUGUCGCUUGCUCCUCACACCCUCUCCAGUGUGCUGGCCGCUGACUGCAGGGGUCGGCAGGAGUCAGGAGAGAACGCCACUGAAGGAGGGAUUCACCAGGGUGCAGACAGUGUCUGCAGAGCCCAGGGCACCCCCACUGGUGCAGGGAGAGCAAGCCGCCCUUUGGCAUGUGUGGUUUUGUGCUGCCGGCAGCCUGCUCCCGAGUCUCCUCAUUGACCUCAGGUCAAAAAGCCUAUUUCCCCCUUUCAACAGAUGGUCUGAGAGAGAUUUGUCCAGGGUUCUGCAAUGUUGCUGGCUUUUUGUGUUCCCACAGCUGCCUGCUUACCCUUGAGUUAUUCUGGGAAGCCGAGUCCUGAGUCCAUGGCAGGACCUUCCCAGGUGGCGACUUCACCUCGCAUGGCCAUCCUGGGUGAAUUGUGCAGUGCUUGAUUCAGAGCUCCCUGUCUACCAUCUGCCCGGUGCAUCGUUUUCCCUCCCACAUCCCCAGCCACAGCCACUGGACCCUCACUGUCCUGGAAGCUUGAGAUGUGGUUAUAAGAAAGUACUGGGCCCUAUUUGGGACCCGAAUGGGAUUCUCUGUAACAUCCCACCCUCCACUCCAGUGCCACCAUCCAGGGAGAUGCAGCAGAAGUCAGGAGGCCCCGUAUCUCAGGGUCUCGUCAAUAUCACUUCCUAGGCUCCCCUUGGGACUGCCAACUGUCAUGGGUUCCUGCUAUGACACCGUUGCCUCCUGUGCCUCAGUGGCCCUCAGCAGCACUCCAGCAUGCCUGAUGGUUAUGUUCAGUCCCUCAAAGGUAGACUCUGUGUCUCCUCUGUGCCAGACAGUCAAAGUCAGCAGACACACAAAGGUGAAUUCAAC
rnacentral:lncRNA from 10 species